rnacentral:piRNA from 1 species
UGCCAUUGAGAGAAGCUCACCCGAGAA